GGGGCUGACUUGGUUUCGACAUCUAAAAUUUAAUAAAGUAUGAGGCAGGUCGAAGUUUGUACUCUUCGUAAAAAUCUACAAAUUUAAAGUAAAUGCAAAUAAUAUAAUUCUUUUUAAAUUUAAAGUAAUGAAUAAUAUUGUACGUUUCGGUAGAUCUCAAAGUAAUUUAAAUUUAUUAAACUUUGCGUCUUAAUACCAAAAUAAAUAUUAUUAACUAUAUUAGUUCACUAUAACUAGACGUUCUUCUUUUUUAUAGUUUAGAAUAAUCUUAAUAUUCUUAAAUGUUCAUAUUAUUGAACUAAACCUGUGAAAGAGUACUUUAAUGAAAUCUAGAUGGACGUGGGUUCGAGUCCCAUCAGCUCCA
rnacentral:tmRNA from 1 species